CAUGCAAAGGCCUUUCCCAAGCCUCAAUUCCAUCAUAAUCUCUGCCAUUCCUUCCAAACUGCAGUUCUGUUUUGCAGACCUAUACUUUUUUCAACAUUCCUCUUAUCUGCCUCUAGAGUCACAAAAUGUUAGAAAUGGAANNNNNNNNNNUCGCAGUCACAGAAAAUGGAAUGCAUUUGCCAUUUUCUCUGGAAAUAAAGAUUACCAUUGUGUUCACUAAGAUUUUUGACAAACACCUGCAAGCUACCUCCUUCUUCAAUCUUAGAUGUCACAUUUGAGGCCAAUGCAAUAGUGAACCACUUUCCACUAACCUGUGGAAAAGAGUUUAGAUGAGAGUUGAAAAAAGACGUCCCUGGUCACAUAGGCUCAUUGUAUUUUUACACUUGGAAGGACCAUAGUCCAAAUCCCUCGUUAUACUAGUGAGGAAACUGAGACUUCAAAGAUACAGUAUAUCUUUACUCCAAUCCUACCUGCUUCAUGCAUUAUCUUCAUAGUAAAGCAAUAAGCUCAUGAGACUAGGAGUUAGGAAAUUUGAGUUCUAGUCUGGCUCUGAUAGUAACUCACUCUGUGACUUUUGGCAAGUUGUUUAACUGUUUGGUACCCUGGUUUGCUCAUUUGUCCAAUGCAGGGGUCGAAAAUAUGUAGCUUUGAGGCCACAUGUGGCCUUCAAGGUCCUUGGGUAUGGCCUUUUGAAUGAAUCUGAGUUUUACAAAACAAAAACUUUUAUUAAGAGGAUUUGUUCUGUGAAGUUUGGAUUCAGUCAAAGGGCCACACUUAAGGACUUAGAGGGCCAUGUGUGGCCUUGAGGCCACAGGUUCUCCCACUUCCUCCCCCCACCCCACUACCCCAAGAUGGGUCUAACUGUAUUUGCACAAUGUGUUUCAUGGCAUUAUUCUAUUGAUAACAUUAUUUUUACUUCUCUUACUAUGUAUUUUGGACUUAGAUGUCACUGGUAAUUUUUUAAGUUAUUUGUGGAUUAAGGAGAGAGAUUGUCACAGGAAGGUGAAAGAUCCUUACUGGGGUCCUAAAAGUAAUUCUCCCUGAUUACUUAUGAGAGACAUGUGUUCAUUCUUUGACUCUAACCACUCAUGGUUCUGGGGGAUUCCUUUCCCCCAACUCUAUCUAGAUGUGAGAUAACUCCUUAUCACAAAAUUCAUUUGUCAUCUAAUCCCAGUACAUGUGCAGAACAAAAGCCCUCAAGCUACCAUCUGAAUAUUAUUAGCAAAACUGGUUUAAAUGGCAGGUCACAGAAAAGGAGACUUGCUGGAAUUUAUCAUCUCAUUUACUAGUGCAACCAGAAGCAGAGAGCACAGAUUUCAAUUACAGUUUUUUUGAAGGAAUAGCAUCUCAUGGUUUCAGCAUCUUACAGUGAGAAAAUUCUUAUAGAUGAUCCAGUGCAACCCUUCAUUGAACAGAUGUAGAAUCUGUUUUAUGGGUUUAUGCUGUGAUGAGUUAGUCUUGGGGGCUAUUUUUAUUCUAGUUAUUUAAAAGAAAUAAGUAAUGAGCAUGCACUCAUGUGUAACUUGAUAUUUUGUGCUGACUUUAAUCAUUGCUAGGUGAUACAACUAUUGGGAAGGAUAGUUUUGAGUGAGAAGACACAAAUGCACAUCUUUUCCUUUCAGCUGCAAGCUCUAUUUUUGCUUUAUUCUUCCCAAAGAUGUUCUGUUUUCUUUACCUGUUACCCUCACACCUUUGCCACACCACUCUAUCGACCUGUUCCCAUUCUUGCUCACUUACCUUUGGUGAGCCUUCUUCAUUGUUAUCGAGGGCCUGGAGACCACAGACCAAGGCCAGCCCCACAGUGAGCAGGAGAAUCUUCAUCUUCUCAAAGGUUUAUCUCUGAUGCUUCAGCAGCACCUGAAUGUCUGAGGAUUCUAAUGAAUACUCUGGCCAUCUAGUCAGCUGCCUUUAUACCUCAUUCUGGGGCAGGGUUCCUGAUGAUGUGGCACUAAGGGCACGCUAAUCCUUCAAAGUGUACUUUAUUCAGAGUCACAAGCCAGUGAGUAAUUGCUAGUCAAGGAUUACAAAUACAGAUUAGUAAAGCAGUUUUUGUCAACAAAAAAUUAAUAAUUCUGAAAUGCAAAUUUCCAAGAUUAACAGACACCGUUAGGUUUGGCCAGCUGCUUCAGAUUAACUCUAUGUCUAUCCUGAGACCAGAACAUACAGUUCCUAUGUUUUGUUGUCCUAGUGUCAGUCAGGCAAUUAACUUCUCAGAAAAAAUUACACUGAGUUCACCAUUUUAAAAAAAAGUGUUGAAACUUGCCUACAAAGCACAUACAGUCUUUUCUUAGGUAAUGUGGAAAGAGUGCCCAAACAAGGAAAUAUUUCUCAUCACUAUCUGCAAGCUCUCCGUCUAAUUGUCGAAAUUCAAUAAACACUUAUUAAGCAUCUACUGUCUGCA
ensembl:lncRNA